AUCGCUUCUCGGCCUUUUGGCUAAGAUCAAGUGUAGUAUCUGUUCUUAUCAGUGAGGGAUUUUAACGUGCUAAACGUGUAUGGUUUUAACGAUAAACAUGACCGGUGUGCACUUUUA
rnacentral:snRNA from 1 species